GGGGCUACAUGAGGAAUUUUAAUUCAGACAUUUGCUAACUUUUGAAUGUUUCAUUUUGCUAUGUUAAUAAUGUUCAUUUAGCAUACGCCAUCUACUUUUCUUUACAGCAUCUUGGAGAUACGUACUUGAAAUCAGUUUAAAUAGGUAAGUAGGAUUUAUAAAUGAUUAAGAUGUGUUUUUUUCCUAUGUAAAUGACAUAAUAGCAAAAUAUUGUGAGGAUAUCUUGGAUAUUUAAGCAGAAUCACUUUUUAUCAGACCAAAAUAAUGUUUUUCCUGCUUUCAUUUCAUUCACUAAUGUAUUACGUUAGGAAUAGAUAUGAAUAUUCUGAAGCAUUUGCUUUCCCAGAUCCACCAGACUUUUUUUCUAUGGUUCUCCAAGUCCCAAUUAUUUCAAAUUCCCAAUUACUGUUCAAAUUCAUGACUAAAGAAAAUGUUAAUAUUGCCAACUUAAAAUGCAUAUUUUGCACUCUUUAGAAUGUAUGUACAUAGUAUUUCUUUCAUCAUGCCCUGCAAAAGGGAAUACUGAUGUUUAUUAGUCCAUCCCAUAUAUGACAAAGAUUUUUUUGGUGUUGCUUUCUUACUAGAGAAAAAUAGAAAGUGCACAAACCAAAACAAAUCCAGUAUUCACUGUCCCUUUACACUAUUAGAGCAGGCUGUUCUGCAUGCAUGUAUAAAAAUAAUAAUCAGUGAUUAAUAUACACUCCAUACAAUGGAGGUCUGCUUCUCAGACCAACUCAGUCUGAACAUCUCCAGUGGAUUGCUUUGAGGUCAUGUAUCUCAGCUGCAGAAAGGCUAAAUGGAAGUUUUAAUGUGCCCCAAGCCAGCUGCAUCAACAUAACUUAUUCUCUCUGGUCAAGCAACAUCAGUUUCAGAAGCAGCUAUUAUCCACACCUUUCUUUUAGGGUUCUUUUCUUAAUAUUAUAAAUGGCUAUUAUAGAAGAAUUGCAAGUGUCACUAAUUAGUACCUUCCUUUUGAAGGCUAAGAUUUUAAACUACUCCUAAUCUACCACUGAACCUUUUAGAAAAAUAUCAGGUAUUCUCAUUCUAAAGCAGCACUCCCUUCUCUCCCCCUGGAAGAAAUAAACUUCCCUAACUGCUGUGUCUCUUCCCAGACCCUAGUCUGAAAUGAAUUUGGCACUGUAUCUCUACAAGACACAAGGCAGGAAGAGUAGUUGUUGCUGUGUAAAUAUGCAGUAAGACAUGUCCAAAACAUGUAACUGUUUCCCAUCCUCAGCCCCAUGCAACACAUUUAUGUAGUUCAGCUGCCUCAUGAGCCUCAACACCUUUAAGGAACAGCACAGGAUUUUCUCUUUCUCUUAAUUAAUUAAAAGGACCAUCUGAUAGAAUAUGUAGCAUACGAUUCUCAAUUAGGUUAGAGGAUUAGUUUAGAGGAUUUAUCAUGUGUAGUUUGCAUGUUCACAGAAUGAAGAACAAAAGUCUUAUACUAAAUGGGGUGUAAUUUUUAAGAUCUAUACUUAGUGUCAGAAUCUGAUGCCCAGUAUACACUUAAACUGUCUUGUCUAAUCCUCUGUAAAUUUCCCUGCCAACAUAACUAGAUUUGUGCUACUGCCACCACUGGCAUCCUUAGUUGAGGGAAUCCCAGGAGUGUUACCAGAUCAUUUUACACACUGCCAGUGUAAUGGAUUUAUCAAACAACUGCAAGCUAACAUGAGUUACAGCAGAGCUAAGGACACUGCAAGUUAUGCUGAGGGUAGAUUUGGCCCUUCGCCACAUCAAUGUCCUGGGAAGCAGCAAGAUGACUUGGUCAUUUUAAAGCUCUAGAGUCCCCACUGGAGUUUUGCAAAUCACCUGAGUAUCUGCACCAGUCUCCUCAACUCAGUCAC
ensembl:lncRNA